rnacentral:tRNA from 1 species
GCUCCAGUGGCGCAAUCGGUUAGCGCGCGGUACUUAUACAGCAGUACGUCUGAGCUAUGCCGAGGUUGUGAGUUCGAGCCUCACCUGGAGCA